rnacentral:rRNA from 1 species
UACGAAGGGGCGAGCGUUGUUCGGAUUUACUGGGCGUAAAGGGCGCGCAGGCGGCCAUUCAAGUCAGGCGUGAAAGCCCCGGGCUUAACCUGGGAAUGGCAUUUGGGACUGCAAGGCUGGAGUGCGGCAGAGGAGACUGGAAUUCCUGGUGUAGCAGUGAAAUGCGUAGAUAUCAGGAGGAAUACCGAUGGCGAAGGCAGGUCUCUGGGCUGACACUGACGCUCAUGCACGAAAGCGUGGGGAGCAAACAGG